CUAGGACGCUCGGUACCGUGGCGUAGUAGAUCGCAGAAGAGCUCACAAACAGAAGCCUCGGAAGAGAGAGAAGAAGAAAAGAGGAAGAUGAUAUACCGGAGAUGGAGUCUGUUGACCGGGCCGGCAGCAAUGGUCGGCGGGAUCGUGGCCGCUGUAGUCGUCGCCAAUUACCUCUUCGUCGAAAACGAUCCAUUCCUCAAACCAACCCCAAGCAAGAAAGAUAGAGAUCCUUCAACCAAGUAGGAAAAUGAGAGACUCAAGUGUGAUCUAGACUUGUUCAAUGCUCUAUGUUUGCUGGGUAUGCCAUUUGCAGGCAUAUGUUAUGAAAAUUGAAUAAAUAUUUGAUUUGGUUGGAAAAUCCUGUUGUUAUUGUGGAUCAGGAGUGGAGUUGUGUUCUUUUGUGAUGCUUAUUAAUUUUAGUUUCUGGUACA